rnacentral:misc_RNA from 1 species
AACGCACAUUGCGCCUAAUAGUAUUCUGUUAGGCAUGCCUGUUCGAGCGUCAUUUCAACCCCCAAGCCCUAUUUGCUUGACGUUGGGAACUUACAGCUGCUGUAAUUCCUCAAAUUUAGUGGCGGAGCUGGGUCAUGCUCUGAGCGUAGUAAUUUUAUUCUCGCUUCUGACGCUGUCCUGUAUCCUGCCGUAAAACCCCCAAAUUUCAUACUGGUUGACCUCGGAUCAGGUAGGAAUACCCGCUGAACUUAA